UAAUGCUUGGGAACUUGCCUUUAGGAGGGGGAUAACAGUUGGAAACGACUGCUAAUACCGCAUAAUGUCUACGGACCAAAGGGGGCUUCGGCUCUCACCUAAAGAGAGGCCCAAGUGAGAUUAGCUAGUUGGUAAGGUAAAAGCUUACCAAGGCGACGAUCUCUAGCUGUUCUGAGAGGAAGAUCAGCCACACUGGGACUGAGACACGGCCCAGACUCCUACGGGAGGCAGCAGUGGGGAAUAUUGCACAAUGGGGGAAACCCUGAUGCAGCCAUGCCGCGUGUGUGAAGAAGGCCUUCGGGUUGUAAAGCACUUUCAGUUGUGAGGAAAGGUUGGUAGUUAAUACCUGCCAGCUGUGACGUUAACAACAGAAGAAGCACCGGCUAACUCCGUGCCAGCAGCCGCGGUAAUACGGAGGGUGCGAGCGUUAAUCGGAAUUACUGGGCGUAAAGCGCACGCAGGCGGUUUGUUAAGCUAGAUGUGAAAGCCCCGGGCUCAACCUGGGAUGGUCAUUUAGAACUGGCAGACUAGAGUCUUGGAGAGGGGAGUGGAAUUCCAGGUGUAGCGGUGAAAUGCGUAGAUAUCUGGAGGAACAUCAGUGGCGAAGGCGGCUCCCUGGCCAAAGACUGACGCUCAUGUGCGAAAGUGUGGGUAGCGAACAGGAUUAGAUACCCUGGUAGUCCACACCGUAAACGCUGUCUACUAGCUGUUUGUGAAUUUAAUUCGUGAGUAGCGAAGCUAACGCGAUAAGUAGACCGCCUGGGGAGUACGGCCGCAAGGUUAAAACUC
rnacentral:rRNA from 1 species